ensembl:misc_RNA 7SK 7SK RNA
GGAUGUGAGGGCGAUCUGGCUGCGACAUCUGUCACCCCAUUGAUCGCCAGGGUUGAUUCGGCUGAUCUGGCUGGCUAGGCGGGUGUCCCCCUCCUCCCUCACCGAUCCAUGUUCGUCCCUCCCGAAGCUGCGCGCUCGGUCGAAGAGGACGACCUUCCCCCCACAGGAGAGGACCGGUCUUCGGUCAAGGGUAUACGAGUAGCUGCGCUCCCCUGCUAGAACCUCCAAACAAGCUCUCAAGGUCCAAAAACCUGAACUCAUAAUUUGAAAUGCUGCAGUGUUACAUUGUGAAACCAAAUGACCACACAGGUAUUAAAGUCUAAAAAAUCU